GUAGCUUUUGAAAUAAUUAUUGUGUAUGACUGAAUGAACUUCCUAUUUUGAUACCGAAAGAGCAGGGAAAACGGCACCUUGAGCACCUUUUAUGUUCAAGUACAUGUUUUCUCUUGUUUGAUGGGAUUUGGAUGGAAAAAGUGAAGUCACAACGGCUGAAAAACUCUGAAAUGGAAACUAUGUGACACAUCAACAUGUAUGCGAGAGUAAACCUAAAGCUUUAAUUUAAAUCUGCGGAAAGUUUGAAAUCCUUGGAGGCCAAGUUGAUGCCACAGGGGACUGGGCAGGUGGUAUAAAGAGUACAAUGUAUAACAAGAGAACAUGGUGGACUGACUUCCUCAGCAGUGUAUUAGAAAGUGAUACAUACAUGCAGUUAUUCAGAUAAAAUGAAACUUUGCCAUAAAUUAUCAAGUAAAACCUUAAGGACCCCUAAGGAGUCAGGAGGGCGAAUCUGAGGAACAUGUCUUUUCAAACAUGAUCUUGCGAAUGCCUGGAUGUGUUUACCGUCUCUUAUGGCACGACACCUCAACUUCAGCAUAAGAUGAACAAUUUUUCGUUGAAGACUACAUUCGUGGAGGAAUUGUUAGUGAUGUGAACUUGGAUUGAAAGUUUCAAGCCAAUAGUGAUUGCAGUAUCAAGAACGUCAAGAUAGUUUUACAUCAAGGAUCAUAGAAAAACAGGAAGUUGAGGAAAGAAGAAAAGAAGGAAUUGUACAUUU